AAAAACAUCGUCUUUUGUCAAUUUUCAUAGAAGAUAAUGCCUGCCCAGUGAAAACUUUAAACGGCCGCGUUAGCGUGAGCGUGCUAAGGUAGCGUAAUAAAUAGCCUUUUAAUUGGAGGCCAGUGAAUGGCAAGACUAGGGACAUCUGUACCCUGUAUAGGAAAACAACUUUUCAUCUGGGUGAAAAGACCCAAAUAAUAAAGGAAGACGAAAAGACCCCGCGGAACUUUACCUUUUCCAGUACCCACAUGCUCAGAAACAUAAGAACAAAAGGUUUGAUUGGGGCAAUCUCGGAACCACCCAAACCUCCGACUUAUAACAUAAAAGUAUAUAAAACUCAAUAUGGACCAAAAAGAAGUUACCCCGGGGAUAACAGCGUAAUCCAACUCGAGAGUACACAUCGAAAGUUGGGUUUGCGACCUCGAUGUUGGCUUAAGGAUAUCCACAUAAGUGCAACCGCUAU
rnacentral:rRNA from 1 species